rnacentral:rRNA from 1 species
UUUUAUGGAGAGUUUGAUCCUGGCUCAGGACGAACGCUGGCGGCGUGCCUAAUACAUGCAAGUCGAGCGGAAAUUUUAUUGGUGCUUGCACCUUUAAAAUUUUAGCGGCGGACGGGUGAGUAACACGUGGGUAACCUACCUUAUAGAUUGGGAUAACUCCGGGAAACCGGGGCUAAUACCGAAUAAUACUUUUUAACACAUGUUUGAAAGUUGAAAGACGGUUUCGGCUGUCACUAUAAGAUGGACCCGCGGCGCAUUAGCUAG